rnacentral:rRNA from 1 species
AGCGGGGGAGUAGCAAUACUCCCGCCGGCGACCGGCGCACGGGUGAGUAACACGUAUGAAACCUGCCCGUAGCAGGGGGAUAAGCGGAAGAAAUUCCGUCUAAUACCGCGUAACAACCCAUGGAGGCAUCUCCGUGGGUUUAAAGGAAGCGAUUCCGGCUACGGAUGGUCAUGCGUCGCAUUAGCUUGUUGGCGGGGUAACGGCCCACCAAGGCGACGAUGCGUAGGGGUUCUGAGAGGAAGGUCCCCCACACUGGUACUGAGACACGGACCAGACUCCUACGGGAGGCAGCAGUGAGGAAUAUUGGUCAAUGGCCGCAGGGCUGAGCCAGCCAAGUCGCGUGAGGGAUGACGGUCCUAUGGAUUGUAAACCUCUUUUGUCAGGGAGCAAAGGGCGCCACGUGUGGCGUUUUGCGAGUACCUGAAGGAAAAGCAUCGGCUAACUCCGUGCCAGCAGCCGCGGUAAUACGGAGGAUGCGAGCGUUAUCCGGAUUUAUUGGGUUUAAAGGGUGCGCAGGCGGAAUGUCAAGUCAGCGGUAAAAUUUCGGGGCUCAACCCCGUCGUGCCGUUGAAACUGGCGUUCUUGAGUGAGCGAGAAGUAUGCGGAAUGCGUGGUGUAGCGGUGAAAUGCAUAGAUAUCACGCAGAACUCCGAUUGCGAAGGCAGCAUGCCG